rfam:TPA: Bos taurus chromosome 6, whole genome shotgun sequence.
UCCCCGGUGGCUCAGAUGGUAAAGAAUCCACCUGGAAUGUAGGAGACCCAGGUUCAAUUCCUGGGUUGGGAA